CAAACUCCCGUUAAAAAAUUCAUGCCAAGUCUAACGGAAUCUUCGGAUUUAGUGGCGGACGGGUGAGUAACGCGUGACAAUCUGGCUCUAGGUCGGGGACAACAGUUGGAAACGACUGCUAAUACCGGAUGUGCCGAAAGGUAAAAGGCUUGCUGCCUAGAGAUGAGCUCGCGUCUGAUUAGCUAGUUGGUGUGGUAAGAGCGCACCAAGGCGACGAUCAGUAGCUGGUCUGAGAGGAUGAUCAGCCACACUGGGACUGAGACACGGCCCAGACUCCUACGGGAGGCAGCAGUGGGGAAUUUUCCGCAAUGGGCGAAAGCCUGACGGAGCAAUACCGCGUGAGGGAGGAAGGCUCUUGGGUUGUAAACCUCUUUUCUCAAGGAAUAAGUUCUGAAGGUACUUGAGGAAUAAGCAUCGGCUAACUCCGUGCCAGCAGCCGCGGUAAUACGGAGGAUGCAAGCGUUAUCCGGAAUGAUUGGGCGUAAAGGGUCCGCAGGUGGGCAACUGUAAGUCUGGCUGUCAAAAGAAUGAGGGCUCAACCUUCAUCAAGGGCAAGUGGGAAACUACAGAGCUAGGAGUACGGUCGUGGGUAGAAGGAAUUCCUGGUGUAGCGGGUGAAAUGCGUAAGAGAUCAGGAAGAACACCGGUGGCGAAAAGCGUUCUGCUAAGGCCUGUACUUGACACUGAGGGGACGAAAGCUAGGGGAGCGAAUGGGAUUUAGAUACCCCAGUAGUCCUAGCCGUAAACGAUGGAUACUAGGCGUGGCUUGUAUCGACCCGAGCCGUGCCGGAGCCAACGCGUUAAGUAUCCCGCCUGGGGAGUACGCACGCAAGUGUGAAACUCAAAGGAAUUGACGGGGGCCCGCACAAGCGGUGGGAGUAUGUGGUUUAAUUCGAUGCAACGCGAAAGAAACCUUACCAAGACUUGACAUGUCGCGAAUUCCCGGUGAAAGCUGGGGAGUGCCUUUCGGGAGCGCGAACACAAGGUGGUUGCAUGGCUGUCGUCAGCUCGUUGUCGUGAGAUGUUGGGGUUAAGUUCCCCGCAAACGGAGCGCCAACCCCUCGUUUUUUUAAGUUGCCAGCCAUUUAAAGUUUGGGGCACCUCCUAAAGAAGACUUGCCCGGUGAACAAAACCGGAAGAAAGGGUGGGGGGAAUGAACCGUCCAAGUUCCAGCCAAUUGCCCCUUACGUCUUGGGCUACACACGUACUACAAUGCUACGGACAGAGGGCAGCAAGCCGGCGACGGCAAGCAAAUCCCGUAAACCGGAGCUCAGUUCAGAUCGCAGGCUGCAACUCGCCUGCGUGAAGGAGGAAUCGCUAGUAAUUGCAGGUCAGCAUACUGCAGUGAAUUCGUUCCCGGGCCUUGUACACACCGCCCUUCACACCAUGGAAGCUGGCAACGCCCGAAGUCUUUACUCCGAACCCAUGGGGCUAGGAUGCCUAUUCGCAGGUGGUUGCGA
rnacentral:rRNA from 1 species